rnacentral:rRNA from 1 species
UAAUACGAAGGGGGCUAGCGUUGUUCGGAAUUACUGGGCGUAAAGGGCGCGCAGGCGGUCUUCCAAGUCAGAUGUGAAAGCCCCGGGCUCAACCUGGGAACAGCAUUUGAGACUGGGAGACUUGAGUUCGGGAGAGGAGAGCGGAAUUCCCAGUGUAGAGGUGAAAUUCGUAGAUAUUGGGAAGAACACCGGUGGCGAAGGCGGCUCUCUGGACCGAUACUGACGCUGAGGCGCGAAAGCGUGGGGAGCAAACAGGAUUAGAUACCCUGGUAGUCCACGCCGUAAACGAUGUGCGCUAGACGUUGGGAGACCUAGUCUCUCGGUGUCGCAGCUAACGCGUUAAGCGCACCGCCUGGGGAGUACGGCCGCAAGGUUA